rnacentral:lncRNA from 1 species
GACCAGUCCACUCAAGCUCUGGAUAGUUAUAAAAUAGGCUUAAUCCGGCCUAUAUUUUAUAUUUUUGAUGAUUAGAUUAUAAAUUUUAUAAAAUUUUAAGUCCAACUAUCUAAAUAUAUCCUAAAAUAAUCCUUCCAAAUGGAGCAUCUCAAGUCCUCCUUCUUACAUAUUUAUUAUGUCGUUAUUAUGUCAUUAUCCAAACGCAACUAUAACAAAAUACACAGAGA